AGACGCCGACUUUAGCGUUUCCGAGAUGAAGACGCCCUCGAGAAUACGGUUGAUUCAGUGGGGCGCCUGAGGAGACAUGCAGGUGGCCAACAGGCACAGGAAAAGAUGCCAGCAUCGCUAAUUAUCAGAGAAAUACAAACCAAAAUCACAGCGAGGUGCCACCCCACACUGGACAGAACGGCCAUCAUCAGAGGCUGCGGAUGGUAACGACCAGGGCGAGGCGGAGAAGAGGAACGUUCGUACCCUGUUCGGGGAGGCGUGAAGCGGCUCGGCCACUCCCGAAACCAGUACAGAGGUGCUGUAAAACCAAAAUUAGAGCUACCGUCUUAUCGAUUAAUCUUACUCCUGGGCCUCUAUCUGGAAAACAUGAAACUCUUCAUUUGAGAAGAUAACGCAUCCCGUGUUCAUAGCAGCACGAUUUAUAAUGGCAAAGACAUGGAAGCUCCCGAAGUGUUCGACAGCAUGUGAAUGAACAGAGAAGAUGUGGUACAAUAUAUGCAGUGGAAUAUUGCUCAGCCAUGAAAAAGAAUGAUGUGAUGCCAUUUUCAGCAACAUGGUGGACCUAGGAAAAUGUACUUGCCAAAGUAAGUCAAACAGGGAAGGACAGGCAUUACAGGACAUCAGGUACAUGCAGAAUCUAAAAAAAGAAUACAAAUGAAUCUAUGUACAAAAUAGAAGCAAACUCACGGAUACAGAAAAUGAAUUUACGGCUUCCAAAGGGGGGAGAGAGGGAAGGCGGGGUAAACUAGGAGCGUGGGGUUAACAAAUAUCAUUACACAGAAAAUACAGAAGUAACAAAGAUUUCCUGUGUAGCAGAUAUUACAUAUCUUGUAAUAACCUAUAGUGGAAUAUAAUCUGAAAAAAUAUAUGUAACCGAACCACUUUGCUGUAGCACUAAAAUUGACACAAUAGGAGUUCCCGUCAUGGCGCAGUGGUUAACGAAUCUGACCAGGAGCCAUGAGGUUGCGGGUUUGACCCUGGCCUUGCUCAGCGGGUUAAGGAUCCGGCGUUGCCGUGAGCUGUGGUGCAGGUUGCAGACACGGCUCGGAUCCUGCGUGCUGUGGCUCUGGCGUAGGCCGGUGGCUACAGCUCCGAUUCGACCCUUAGCCCGGGAACCUCCAUAUGCCGUGGAAGUGGCUCAAGAAAAGGCAAAAAGAUGAAAAAAUAAAUAAAUAAAAUUG
rnacentral:lncRNA from 1 species